AGAGUUUGAUCCUGGCUCAGGACGAACGCUGGCGGCGUGCUUAACACAUGCAAGUCGAACGAGAAUCUAUGGAAAGAGGAUUCGUCCAAUUGAAAUAGAGGACAGUGGCGGACGGGUGAGUAACGCGUGAGGAACCUGCCUUUCAGAGGGGGACAACAGUUGGAAACGACUGCUAAUACCGCAUAACAUAUAGAUGUCGCAUGGCAUUUAUAUCAAAGAUUUAUCGCUGAAAGAUGGCCUCGCGUCUGAUUAGCUAGUUGGUGAGGUAACGGCCCACCAAGGCGACGAUCAGUAGCCGGACUGAGAGGUUGAACGGCCACAUUGGGACUGAGAUACGGCCCAGACUCCUACGGGAGGCAGCAGUGGGGAAUAUUGGGCAAUGGGCGCAAGCCUGACCCAGCAACGCCGCGUGAAGGAAGAAGGCUUUCGGGUUGUAAACUUCUUUUGUCAGGGACGAGUAGAAGACGGUACCUGACGAAUAAGCCACGGCUAACUACGUGCCAGCAGCCGCGGUAAUACGUAGGUGGCAAGCGUUGUCCGGAUUUACUGGGUGUAAAGGGCGUGUAGCCGGGAGGGCAAGUCAGAUGUGAAAUCCACGGGCUUAACUCGUGAACUGCAUUUGAAACUGUUUUUCUUGAGUAUCGGAGAGGCAAUCGGAAUUCCUAGUGUAGCGGUGAAAUGCGUAGAUAUUAGGAGGAACACCAGUGGCGAAGGCGGCUUGCUGGACGACAACUGACGCUGAGGCGCGAAAGCGUGGGGAGCAAACAGGAUUAGAUACCCUGGUAGUCCACGCUGUAAACGAUGAAUACUAGGUGUGCGGGGACUGACCCCCUGCGUGCCGCAGUUAACACAAUAAGUAUUCCACCUGGGGAGUACGAUCGCAAGGUUGAAACUCAAAGGAAUUGACGGGGGCCCGCACAAGCGGUGGAUUAUGUGGUUUAAUUCGAAGCAACGCGAAGAACCUUACCAGGGCUUGACAUCCUACUAACGAAGUAGAGAUACAUCAGGUGCCCUUCGGGGAAAGUAGAGACAGGUGGUGCAUGGUUGUCGUCAGCUCGUGUCGUGAGAUGUUGGGUUAAG
rnacentral:rRNA from 1 species